AUGAGGGCGCACAGUGGAUGCCUUGGCACUAGAAGGCGAUGAAGGACGCGACUACCUGCGAUAAGCGGCGGCGAGCUGGAUGUGAGCUUCGACCCGCCGAUUUCCGAAUGGGGGAACCCGGCCGCUUUUACCGGCGGCCACCGACCGGCGUUUGCGCCGGCGGGGAUACACCCGGGGAAUUGAAACAUCUUAGUACCCGGAGGAGAAGAAAGAGUGAUCGAUUCCGUGAGUAGCGGCGAGCGAAAGCGGAGGAGCCCAAACCGGAGAGAUCCGGUGUCCGGGCCCGCGGCAUGGGAUUCGCGAGCGUCAGGCGAGCGGCCUGGGAAGGCCGGCCUCAGAGGGUGAGAGCCCCGUAGCCGAAGGCGCGAGCGACCCUAGCGGGUUCCAGAGUACGUCGGGGCACGUGAAAUCCUGACGGAAGGUCCGCAGACCAUUGCGGAAGGCUAAAUACUAGCUAGUGACCGAUAGCGCACCAGUACCGCGAGGGAAAGGUGAAAAGAACCCCGGGAGGGGAGUGAAAAGAAUCUGAAACCGUGUGCCCACAAGAAGCCAGAGGGCGUUGAUGCCUGAUGGCGUGCCUAUUGAAGAAUGAGCCGGCGAGUUACGUUCGCACGCAUGGUUAAGCCGAAGAGGCGGAGCCGCAGGGAAACCGAGUCUUAAAGGGGCGAUUUGUGUGCGGGCGCAGACCCGAAGCCCGACGAUCUAUCCAUGGCCAGGAUGAAAUCGGGGUAACACCCGACGGAGGUCCGAACCGACGUUCGUUGCAAUGCCCGCGGAUGAGCUGUGGAUAGUGGAGAAAUUCCAAUCGAGUCGGGGGAUAGCUGGUUCUCCUCGAAAUAGCUUUAGGGCUAGCGUCCGGCGUACCCUCUGGGGGUAGAGCACUGAAUGCCUGAUGGCCGCGCACAGCGGUACUGAAUGCAAUCAAACUCCGAAUCCCAGGGGGGUCGAGCCGGGCAGUCAGACUGCGGGGGAUAAGCUCCGUGGUCGAAAGGGAAACAGCCCAGACCGCCGAAUGAGGUCCCCAAAUCCACGCUAAGUGUGAAAGGACGUGGGGGCGCUUAGACAACUAGGAUGUUGGCUCAGAAGCAGCCACCAUUCAAAGAGUGCGUAACAGCUCACUAGUCGAGUGCCCCCGCACCGAAGAUUUACCGGGGCUGAAGCGUGGUGCCGAAUUCGCGGAUUUUGGAUUCGCGUCCAAAGUGGUAGAGGAGCGUUCCGCCAGGGGCGAAGCCGCACCGAGAGGAGCGGUGGACCGGGCGGAAGUGAGUAUGCCGGUGUCAGUAACGAUGAGGGGUGGGAAUCCCCUCCACCAUUUGACUGAGGUUUCCCGGGCGAGGGUCGUCCCCCCGGGGUCAGUCGGGACCUAAGGCGAGGCCGAAGGGCGUAGCCGAUGGACGCCAGGUCGACAUUCCUGGACUGGUGCGCGUGCGAUGUGGUGACGGAUCCGGACAGGGGCUCCCCCUUAUUGGAUUGGGGGCCAAGCGGCUCGGCCGCGCGGCAGGCAAAUCCGCCGCGCAGAGGCGAGGCCGCGAGCGCGAGCGAAACCUUCGGGGAGUAGCGAAGGCUCCGACGCCGGGUCCCGAGAAAAACCGCUAGCCUAAGCGCGCAUCACCCGUACCGAGAACGGACACACGUGGUCAAGGAGAGUAUCCUGAGGUGAGCGAGUUAACUGUUGUUAAGGAACUCUGCAAAAUUGCUUCGUAACUUCGGAAGAAGAAGCGCCGGCGCGAGCCGGCCGCAGUGAAGAGGCCCAAGUAACUGUUUAUCAAAAACACAGCUCUAUGCUAAGCCGCAAGGCGACGUAUAUGGGGUGAUGCCUGCCCAGUGCUGGAAGAUUAAGGGGAGGAGUCAGGCGCAAGCCGAAGCCCCGAGCCGAAGUCCCAGUGAACGGCGGCCGUAACUAUAACGGUCCUAAGGUAGCGAAAUUCCUUGUCAGGCAAAUUCUGACGCGCAUGAAUGGUAUAAUAAUUUGGGCGCUGUCUCGACAGCAGACUCGGUGAAAUCUUAUUACCUGUGAAGAUGCAGGUUACCCGCGACUAGACGGAGAGACCCCAUGGAGCUUUACUACAGCUUACCAUUGGGCAGGCGAUGCGCAUGCGCAGAAUAGGUGGGACGCUUUGAUCCCGGGGCCUUGGCCUCGGGGGAGCGGGCGGUGAGAUACCACUCUUGCGCGUUGCCUGUCCUAACGCGCGCCUUCACCGGGCGGCGGACAGUGGUUGGCGGGUAGUUUGACUGGGGCGGUCGCCUCCCAAAAGGUAACGGAGGCGCUCCAAGGUACCCUCAGCACGGUCGGAAAUCGUGCCUCGAGUGCAAUGGCAUAAGGGUGCUUGACUGCGAGUCCUACAAGACGAGCAGGGACGAAAGUCGGACAUAGUGAUCUUGCGGUCCCGGAUGGAAGGGCCGUAACUUAACGGAUAAAAGCUACCCUGGGGAUAACAGGCUGAUCUGGUCCAAGAGUUCACAUCGACGACCAGGUUUGGCACCUCGAUGUCGGCCCAUCACAUCCUGGAGGGGAAGUACCUUCCAAGGGUUUGGCUGUUCGCCAAUUAAAGUGGUACGCGAGCUGGGUUCAAAACGUCGUGAGACAGUUUGGUCCCUAUCUGUCGUGGGCGCAGGAGGUUUGAGCGGAGUAGUCCCUAGUACGAGAGGACCGGGAUUAACGGGGCGACGGUACGCCGGUUGUCACGCCAGUGGCACGGCCGGGUAGCCGCCCCCGGAGCGGAUAAGCGCUGAAAGCAUAUAAGCGCGAAGCCAACCGCGAGAUGAGACCUCCCAUCCGAAAGGAGUAAGGGCCCCCCUAUGUCAGGGGGUCGAUAGGGCGCAGGUGUAAGCGCGGCGACGCGCUGAGCCGAGCGCUACUAAUAGCCCGAGGGCUUAAUUU
rnacentral:rRNA from 1 species